rnacentral:lncRNA from 1 species
AGAGUCACACCAGGGCAGUCCUGGUGCCAAAGGCUGGGCCCGGGAGGAGCACAGCACAGCUCUUCCACAUGUUGGCAGCCCAAGCUCUGGCUUUCAUACUGAGUCCAAUCCAGGAACUCACGAGGCUAAGGACUCUUAUUAUCUUUUAAUCUCUUCGGUUGUGUUGACUGGAGUUCAGUUAUGUGGAUGUGAGAGGCACACACAAAAAGCAGAGAAGCAGCUGGUGCCACAACUGGGCCGGCUGUGCUUUAAGGUACAGUACCAGAGAAAGCCCUAGCUCCUGUUCAAAGCCAGCAAGCGGACUGAUUGCUCUGCUUAAAGAACCUGAUGUCAUCUUCAUAAAGAAAAAAAAUUGAUUUUUAAAAAGUCAUGGUGGCAGUUCUAAAGUCAGCCUAAGUGCUUGCCAACAAAUGAAUAGAUAAAUGUGAUAGAAAGUUUUAUUCAUAAAGAACAACAGAAUGGUUAGAUUUAAUCAAACACAUGCACACACACGCACAUAACUUACAUAUGUUCUCACACACUCAGAUACACACUCACUCAGACACAUACUCACAUGAGAUAGGAAAAAAGAUAAAGGAGGAGAAUUAAGGAGGAGGAUAAGAGAGAGCAGUGUGUGAGUUGGGGGAAUAAAUAUGUGGGAAAUGACACAUAUGAAUAAAGAUGAUACAUAUAAAUUGUCAUAAUGGACACCAUUAUUUUGUAUGCUAACUAAAAACAGUUUAAAAAGAACACAAUUAUGCCAUUUUCAGCAAAAAA